ACCAGCCUGCAAAUUCUAAAUGUAUUAGAUGAUGGCCAACUUCAGUAUCCUUUACUUGAUAGAUGUAUGUCAGCCUGAUGAAAAUAGCAAACAGGAAGUUUUCAAGAGAUUAUUACCUCAAAUCUGAAGUGGUUCAAUGCAAAACACGAGCUUCAUUCAAUGCUGGCCCUGCAUGGUAUUCACAAAGUGCCUUUAUUAGAUGAAAACUUAAUUGGGAAUAAAUUUACCUGAUGUUUAGGUAAUGUUUGAUGCAUCCAAUUGUGGAUAUUUUGAAAAAAAGGUGAAAAUGAAGGAAGGACAUCAACACACACGAACUUUUUUAUUUAUUGAUUAUAAAAUUGAGGAUAGAGAGUCAAAUAUAAUUUUAAAAUAUGAAAUGUGCGAAAGGCAAAGAGAGAGUCAUGAUCAGCUAGGUUUUGUGAAGAUUAAUUUUUUUCAUUUUAAAGCUCACUGCUAGAAUAUUCACUUGUAAAGAUUUAUCCUGUUUCAACCUUAAAGCUCAUAAUAUUGUUUCCAUUUUUUACGAGCUGUUUGACUGAUAGACGGUCACUGCUAUUUUUUUGUUUGUUUGUAUUUAUGGUUUAAACAAGAUUAAUCUAAGAGGAAUUGCAGUGUAUGAAAGACAGAAAGAAGGACUAUGUAAAAGUCUAUUCUUUUUCAGCAAAACAGCAGGUUCUUCUUUAUAACUUUUUGUAUUGAAAUAAUCAAGCACCUGCCAAUUUGUAUAAAUUGGAUAAAUCUUGGAUGAGUAUUACAUUGUGUAUUGAAAACUGUAUUUUUAAAAAGGAUACACUAAAAAUAUUACAUAAUAUAAAAUUUAAAUCAUAAAUUUUCAUGUUAUAUCUAAAUUAUCAAAAUUUGCCAUUUUGUAGAGCUAAUAGUAAAGAAAUAAUGUAAACAAAAGAUAAAGAAAAAAAAAGAAAAAAGAAAAAACUGUAAACUAAGUUCUAGGAAAUGGCAGUAUGGGAUUUCUGAAAUUUAUAAGUUGUAUUGGAUCGAAAAGUAUUCUUACAACUUAAUACAUCUUGUGUGUGUGAGGGAGAGAAAGAUAUUUUGUGGAGGUUUAUUUUCUUUCAGCCAAACAGCAGGCACUUCUUACAACUUUUUGUAGACUGGUCUCAAACAAGUUGCCAAAAUUAACCUGUCAUUUGGUUUAGAUAAGAUAAAUCUAGAAGCGGAAGAUAGUAUUUUGAGAUGCUACUUUUUCUUUGAUUUGUUUUAUGGCUUGAAUCUAUGAACAAAGAAUAUACACUUGAAUAUGACAUGGAUCAAAAUUUAAUAAAUCAGCUCUCAUUGUUUUAAACAUCACAGUCAUGUUCUAUUCUAUGCGUAUCUAUGUCAUUUGUUAACCCCUUCAACACAGAAAGCAAAAUCCAUGUAAUGAAUGAGGAGCUAAUAGGGUGAAGUUUAUGGCAAGGGGAGGGAAUACACCUAUUUACCUCUUUAUUCUGGUCGCUUCCUUUGGUGAAAGGUAAUUAAUUAGACAUUAAUAGGAGCACAUCAGAUGUAAUCAAAAUUUGCCAUUUUGUAGAGCUUCCCGUAUGAAAUUAUAAGGCGUAUUAUGCCUGGAAAUGAGGCGUAAACCAGGCGUAAGUGGUAGUUACGUGUCUAGAUCCAGGUGUAAGGGAGCAGGAAACGUAAAUUUGUAGUCCGUACGGGCGUAGAAAAAAGUGGUAAACCUGGCGUAAAUUGAAAUAAGCAAGGCGUAAAUUUUCUUACGGGCGGAAAACUGUUGGUAUGGGGUAAAUCAUAAUACCCAUAAUGCUUUGUUUAAAGGAUCAUGGGAAUUUUUUUUCAAAAUUUGGCUCUUUGGUUUUAGUUUGCAAGAGUUGGACUUAAUGCAGCUUCAUACAUUCAGGGAUAAUUAGCUUGUUUUGUGCUUUUUGGAAGAAUUUGGAAAUAUGGAAUCAAAUUGAUUAAUAAAAAUUGUGAACAAAAUGGAAAGUAAUACAUGGUAAAUAAUAAUUAUGUGAGUAUAUUACCUAAGUUAUUAAGUUUUAAGUUCUAACAGUAAUUUUGAAAUCCCAAAACCUUUAUCCUUGGAUAAUAACAUUGAAAUCUUUUGCAUGAAGUUACAUUGCAGUAUUAUCAUUUAUAUCUUAAAGGACAUUAAUUUAUAAAAAACUUAGUUAAUCAAAAUGCAGAAGUUUUAUUUCAAGAAAAAUUAAUUGUCAUAAUUCUUAUUUAAACUUAAACUUAUUUGAGCCAGUGUCUGUCUAAAAUGUAUUUAUUUAUAUAUUAGCUUCUUCAAUGGUUAAUAUUUCCAGUUUUAUGUCAAAUAAUGAGAAAUUAAAGCAACAGUACAGAAGUUUGCAUUAAAUACACAAAAGUACACAGCUAGGGUAAUACACUGAUUUGAAAUAAGUGUAGUAUUAUGUAAGGAUAUAACGCCUGGUUUAUUUAUUGACCAGGCGUACUCAUUUGCAUAUUACGCCUGGUUUUCUCUGGACCAGGCGUACUCAUUUAAAUAUUACGCCUAAUUUUACGCCUGGUUUCCGCCUGGACAUGCAUUCCUUAAACACUGCAAUGACGCCCAGAUAAAGUAUAAUUUUUACGCCUGGUUUCCGUGUCAUAUACGGGCGUCACAGUUCGUACAGGUUAGUAAAAACUGUAAACUAAGUUAUAGGAAAUAGCAGUAUGUGUUGGUUUGAAAUUUAAUGAUAUCUUUUGGAUAUUAAAUUCUUUUUAUAUUUUAAAUUCAUCUGAUUUGCAUAUUUGAUAGAGAGAUAGAACAAGACUUUGUGAAGGUUUAUUCUGUUUCAAUCUAACAGCAGGUGCUUCUUUCAUCUAAUUGUAGUCAUCUCUUAUGACCAAUUUUCAAUAAAACUACUAAAACCUGCCAUUGGAUUAAGAUUGGAUGAAUCUAGAAGGAGGGUAAAGUAUUUCGAAUUUGAUUACCAGUACUUCAAAAAAUAAUUACAUUGUUUCUUAAUUUUCAAUAUUUGGAGUAAGAGCAUGAUAUUUUAUUAACAAAACAUUCAAGUGUUAUUUUUUUUUGCGUUUUGUGUAUGGUUAUUGAAAUAAUAAUAUUUCUUAAUAAAAGUUUAUAUUGAAAAUCAGCAA